UACGAAGGGGGCUAGCGUUGCUCGGAAUCACUGGGCGUAAAGGGUGCGUAGGCGGGUCUUUAAGUCAGGGGUGAAAUCCCAAGGCUCAACCUUGGAACUGCCUUUGAUACUGGGGAUCUCGAGUCCGGCAGAGGUGAGUGGAACUGCGAGUGUAGAGGUGAAAUUCGUAGAUAUUCGCAAGAACACCAGUGGCGAAGGCGGCUCACUGGUCCGGUACUGACGCUGAGGUGCGAAAGCGUGGGGAGCAAACAGG
rnacentral:rRNA from 1 species